rnacentral:rRNA from 1 species
UACGGAGGGAGCGAGCGUUGUUCGGAAUUACUGGGCGUAAAGGGUGCGCAGGCGGCUUGGCAAGUCGGAAGUGAAAUCCCAGGGCUUAACCCUGGAAUUGCUUUCGAAACUGCCAAGCUAGAGUCUCGGAGAGGUUAGCGGAAUUCCCAGUGUAGAGGUGAAAUUCGUAGAUAUUGGGAGGAACACCAGUGGCGUAAGCGGCUAACUAGACGAGUACUGACGCUCAGGCACGAAAGCGUGGGGAUCAAACAGG